UACGAAGGGGGGCUAGCGUUGUUCGGAUUUACUGGGCGUAAAGCGCACGUAGGCGGAUCGUUAAGUCGGGGGUGAAAUCCUGGAGCUCAACUCCAGAACUGCCUUCGAUACUGGCGAUCUUGAGUCCGGAAGAGGUGAGUGGAACUCCUAGUGUAGAGGUGGAAUUCGUAGAUAUCAGGAGGAACACCAAUAGCGAAAGCAGCUCGCUGGGACGGUAUUGACGCUAAGGCGCGAAAGCG
rnacentral:rRNA from 1 species